rnacentral:rRNA from 1 species
GACGAACGCUGGCGGCGUGCUUAACACAUGCAAGUCGAGCGGUAAGGCCCUUCGGGUACACGAGCGGCGAACGGGUGAGUAACACGUGGGUGACCUGCCCUCAGCUCUGGGAUAAGCCCGGGAAACUGGGUCUAAUACCGGAUAUGACCUCUCAUCGCAUGGUGGGUGGUGGAAAGUCGGUGUCAUUGAUGCCGGCGGUUGGGGAUGGGCCCGCGGCCUAUCAGCUUGUUGGUGGGGGAUGGCCUACCAAGGCGGUGACGGGUAGCCGGCCUGAGAGGGCGACCGGCCACACUGGGACUGAGACACGGCCCAGACUCCUACGGGAGGCAGCAGUGGGAAUAUUGCGCAAUGGGCGGAAGCCUGACGCAGCGACGCCGCGUGGGGAUGACGGCCUCGGUU